rnacentral:piRNA from 1 species
UAAUGAUUGACGUACUACAUAUGUGCCCC